CUCAUUGACAGGAGUCAAAGUCACGUCAGAUUAAAAUCAGAAAUUAACAAAUUACGUCAAACCGGUACAAAUAUACUUUUUUUUAAAUGGUAAGGCUAUUAGAUGAAACAUAAAGCAUUGUAUGCACCACAGGCGUUACGGAGAUAAUAAUGCCCAUCAGGCCGAAACCUAUCCCUCGGGCCAAAGGCCCUCGGGCUAGUUCGGCCCUCAGGGCAUUAUAAGGUCCGUAACGCCCUUGGUACAUAAAUAGCUAUUAUGGAAUAAAUAUAUUUUAUUCGCCGUAUUUUGUGCUUCAACAUAUUUUUGGAUCAGCAUCAGAGCUUCUUGAACCUUGAAAAUGAAGUGCUAUAAGCUACAACAAAGACUGACUUUAAUUGAAAAAAAUUGAAACUCGCAACUCGCUUUCCUACAAGAAAUAUUUGGGGUGAAAAGUUUUUGAAAAGAAGGCAUUGAAUGUUUGAAUCUAUUGAAAAUCGACCAAUCAGAGUUGGACGAGUUGGAGAACGGACUCGAAAAUUGCGGUCUGAAUUCAUGGCGGAUGGAAUUCAUGGUGCAAAUAAAACCGGACCGAAGGUCGAUGCGGAUACCAGGCUCUGGCACGUGGAGCCAUUAGUAAGAGCUGAUUGCCUUGUGAGAACCAGUUGUUCGAACCCACCUCCAGUCUAUGACUCGUACUCUACAACGCAGUCCAUACACCCCCAUGGAGAUAAUUUAACGAACUUUUUUGGAGAUCAAUGACGAGGACAGACUGCGAUAAAAUAAUUUUGUUCAUUUUUGCCAGUGCCACGCCUCUGUAUUUAUUAUUUAUUACAAAUCAUUUUCAAA